CAGGAAGUUGUUAAGAAUACUGGACUUAGAACAGGAUGAUUCAGAUUUGAGUCACAAUCCCAAACUGUGUGACCCUGGGCAAGUGGGCGAAACUCUCUCAGUUUCCCCUUCCUCCAUGGAAAGAGAAUGCCUGCCUCUUGUGUUUGUUGUGAGAACCAAAAUGUGAUCCUGCAUGUGAAGCCAAUCUGGAAACGUGCCCACUCUCAUAUUCUAUUAUUUCAACUUCUCACACUUCUCAAAAGAAUGUGGCAAGAAAUGAAGGUGGGAAGGAAUCGAGAUGCUCGGGAGAUAAUAGAGAAAAAGACUCCGAGGUGUCACUCAAGUCAGCCAGGAAAGAGAGAGAGGUGGCUGGUUGAUUCAAGAUCACAGUGGAUGCAAACUAGCGGCAGAGCUGGGACUUGGGCUCCUGGCUUCCCAGGCGGUACUUCUUCUUCCUCACCUGCUGGGCUACAUAUACAGGUGAUCCUGAUAGUCCUUGAAUGCAGCCAAGUGCAUUUUUUUCCUGCUAAGUUACUGACUGGAUGGUACUUCUUUGUGAUAACUCCUCAGAGGAGAAGACACAGGUGUGGGAGGAAUCCCUCAACAGAAGGAAGAGAAUAGCCUCUCUGGCUCACCAUGUUGGUGGCGGGAUAUUCCAGGGCCUGGGAGCUGCAGAAGAGGAUGAGAAGUUUGUCUAGAGUUAAUUUGAGGAUACAAUGCUCCUCGGAAGAUGCCCCAAUAUGACCCUGUGUGAGAAAAGGCCCAAGACAAGUGUAGAAGAGUAGAUGCACCAACCAACACUGGGACUGACCAACUCCCAACUGCACUUCAGAAGAGUUGGACAAGAUGGAGUUGAGUUGAGCUGUGGAUAAUUCUAGGAUGUUGCAUGCUCCUGAAACUAAGCUUUAGUUACCUAUUUUCAUAAUUACUGCAUUUUGAGUAUUUGGGGAAAGGGGACUGUCUAAAGGUCUAAUUUUAGGCAUGCUGUCUAAUGUCUAAAAUGGGGUUUAUUUUUCUCAAAUAUUUUUGGUCUUCUUUAUAGGUUUCAUUUGAAAAGUGUCAAUUGUUUCUUUUUGCUCUGAAGAUGGGCAUGGUGCUGCUCAUGACUCUCCCAUGUAAGGAAGAAGAGAGGAGCCAGCUGAGCUGGAGCAGAGGUCGGAUUGCAGAUUGGGAGAGCUCUUCACAUACCAUAUUCAAAAAGCAUCUGUCACCCAGUAGCCAUGGCAACAGGCAUCCCUGAAUUGUUGUGGAGAGAUGUUUUUGGAAUGGAGCUGGAAAAGGAAGUGGACAUAACUGCCUCUGGGUAUUAAUUGAGCACUUGCUGUAUGCAGAGCCCUAUUCUAGAUACUAUAGAGGGCAUGAAGAGAGUCGCAGCCUCUUCUCAGGAUUUGAAGCUAGAAAGGAGUGAACAGAUGAGUACUAAGCAAUCAGCUCCAUCAAGCCAGAUUGAUACCCUCUAACCUGGAGAAGAAGAAGAGAGUUUAAAAAGGGAGAUGCACCCCCAGGGCUUUAUGGGGCCCUGUCUCCUCCCAGGGCCCAGGGUGGUGGAAAUGGCAGACGCCCCUCUAAGGAUGGAGGUCAAGCAUGAUGUAGCAGAGUCUGCACUCAGCAUCAGCUUCAGGGAGGAGUGAGAACGCAAAUCCUGAAAUGAUUGAGAACAUGACUCCAGUGACCAAUUUACCUGGAAACAGCUCUGCUAGUUUUUCUGCAUCAGCCAGAAGGGGGGCUUGAGACGGAAAAGAACUCCAAUCACAGAAAGAGAAAAUGACAUUGUACACACCAGUCUUCUGGGGGGCGGGGGGCCGACCCUCUGUGUUCGCUUCUUGCCUUCUUUCUCCCCUUCCCCAUCCUGCACCCCAACCCAUCUGCUUCAACAUGCUGAACUGGGCCUCCUGUCCACAGCACACGGUGGGCCUGGUGAGAAAACCAGGACUUUAGAGCCUGAAAAUCGUAAAGCUAGAAGGGCCCAUAGAGAUGGGGUUGUCCACUGCCUGCAUUUCACCGGUAAGGAGACUGGGGCCCAAGGAAAGGACGUGCCUCGCAUAAGGUCUCAACACAGUUGAGUGACCGAGGUGAGAAAACUUGGUUCUUGAAUGUUUCCCACCACCUUUUCCCAUCCAGCUCCUGUCGAGACUGGUCACCCAGGUGAGGAAAGCACGCCCUGGCCCCACAGCCACAGCUCAUUGGGUCUGAGCCACCUCUCUUGCUGGCUGGCUGGGUGAUUUAGAGCAGAUGUCACCCAGGACAGGAGGGGGGGGCAUGAGGGGAGAGGGGCACUGCCCAGCAUAGAGCCUUACGGGUGGCCCUCCUACAAACUGACCUCUUGGCCCCAGAACAAAGCAGUUCUCCAACACGCCAUGGAUCAUGCCUUGUGGGGGACGACAUGACACAUGCCAGGGAUUCUUUCCAAGCCACAACUGCUUUGGAGUCAUGGCAGCAAGUCUCUGCCUGCUGGGGCCUGCGAGCUCCCCCCAGGCUGUGGGGCAAGAAGAGAAGUCUUAGACUUCACCGAGGUAGGAGUGCCGGCUGCCAGGAGACCACUGGGAACAUUGAGGACUCGGGGGGACAAGCAGUUGGGCCUCCCUGUCCUGAGGGUCGGCUCUAAAUCACCGCCAACCUCGUGCAGAGGACAAGCCCCAGUGUUGUGUUUACUCUGCCAGGAGCUUUUGCUCACUGUCCUCAUUUACUCCUCACAGCCCAGUAGACAGGGGUUACUCUCUCCUUUUUAGAGAUGAGGAAAAUCAAGUUUGGAAAGGUUAAGUGACUUGAGGUUGAGGUCACACUGUUUUUAAGGAGAGGCUCUGGGAUUAGAUAAGAUAGAUCCUUGUGUGUCUUCAGCUGCAGAGCGCCCCCCCGCCCCGAGCCUCUCUCCUGGGGAUCUCUUUUUCCUGGGAGUCCUUCCCAACAGAGUCUAAGGGGGCAGAGAGGGAGACUGCGAACAGCCCAGCCUCGCAGAUUAGGGGCUGGGAGUCAGGACACUCAGGCCCUUGGCUUCACCUCUCACUGGCCCCUUUCCCUGACCACACACUUCCCUCCCAAGGAGGCUGUUCUCUGGGCAGUGACUGGCACUGGUUCUCAGGCUCUCCCACAUUCCCUCAGGGCCAUUUUAAGUUGUGAGCACCUCAGCUUUGUGUCAGGAGCAACACUCGAGGAAGGUCGCUCACCUUACGAGCAGAGCUUACCAUAAUCCAACAAACCUACGACGAAGUCAGACUUACAUACAAUGGAAUGCCGAGCAUAAUCAUUAUCGAAACUGGGGCCCAGGCCCCUUCUCACCAAGUCUCGACCUUGGAGAUUAUGGAAAUGAGACCUAAAUGUUGAACACUUCCUAACAUUGACUGGAGUGUUCUUUUACACAACUCAGUCAAAUUUUUACUUUUUCAGUCCUCACUUGGUUGGCUCUUUAGUUAUAAUCUGCACUGGGGCUUGAAAGUUUUCCUUGGGGCGCCUGGGUGGCUCAGUCGUUAAGCGUCUGCCUUCGGCUCAGGUCAUGAUCCCAGGGUCCUGGGUUCGAGUCCCACAUCAGGCUCCCUGCUCGGCGGGAAGCCUGCUUCUCCCUCUCCCACUCCCCCUGCUUGUGUUCCUGCUCUCGCUAUCUCUCUGUCAAAUAAAUAAAAAAAAAAAAUCUUUAAAAAAAAAAAAAAGAAAGUUUUCCUUGGUGUCAUGGCUAGUUUUAUCCUCAUUCCAUUCCCCACUCCUCAUACCAUAUGCGCCCUGAUCCCCACACAUAUCGAAAGGUAGAGGCUGGUGCCUCUGCUCACUGAUGGCAGGGCCCUUGCUAACCCUAUCAUGGUCCAGGGAUGAGAUUCCUGGGGUCCCCUCAUAGAUUUACAGAGGAUUCUA